CGGUAAUACGUAGGGUGCGAGCGUUAAUCGGAAUUACUGGGCGUAAAGCGUGCGCAGGCGGAUUGUUAAGCAAGAUGUGAAAUCCCCGGGCUUAACCUGGGAAUGGCAUUUUGAACUGGCAGUCUAGAGUGUGUCAGAGGGGGGUGGAAUUCCACGUGUAGCAGUGAAAUGCGUAGAGAUGUGGAGGAACACCGAUGGCGAAGGCAGCCCCCUGGGAUAACACUGACGCUCAUGUACGAAAGCGUGGGUAGCAAACAGGAUUAGAUACCCUGGUAGUCCACGCCCUAAACAAUGUCAACUGGUUGUUGGGGGAGUGAAAUCCCUUAGUAACGAAGCUAACGCGUGAAGUUGACCGCCUGGGGAGUACGGUCGCAAGAUUAAA
rnacentral:rRNA from 1 species